ensembl:lncRNA
CGCAAGGCCUCUCUGCAAUUGACUCACUGGGAGCUGGGCUAACACUCAUCCUGGGCUGCCUCCUUGCAGCUGGUGAGCACACUGCUGGGUCUCACCUGUGCAGUCUAGAUCAGCCCUGCUGUGACAGACUUCUGCUCAACCGUUGCUGAAGAAAGCCUCAGAAGUAGGAACAGGAAGCUUAUUCAGGGAUAGAAUUUCCCUCAUACAGAUCUGUCCUUCUGCGUUGUCCUUUCUGAUGCCUCACCUGCCUUUGAUUCCCUCACUCCCUGUGGCCUUAUCUUGACUCUGACUCUUUGACUUUGGGUGACCUCGAACAGUUCCUCCCUCCUGGCAGUAGAGCUCCGGUUUUCCAAGGCCCAGCCUGCUCUGCGACUAACCCCAGCCUGCCCCAACUGCCUGCCACCUGAACUUGCCUUUGGCUUUGGACAGUUGUCCUUGGCUACAGACCCUAACUAGUGACAUCAGCUACCUCGCCCCAGGGCUGACACAUCCUAACCUUUCUCUUUAUGUCCCUAUGAAAGGGUUUGGCAUUCUAGCCUAGGAAGGUCACUGAAUAAGACGCUUGGAAAGACUUCUUUUACUCUACCAGGAUGUGAGUGAUGUGUUGUGGCAUUGCAAAGCCAGAGAAAACGCAUUCAGAGAGCCCUGUGUAUACUUUUUCUGCCUUUCUUGGUGAGGAAGCCAAAGUUCAUAGAAGUGUAAGGUUACUCAUCCAGGCUAUACAGGGCAAUUCUUCAGGAAGAGGGACCAUUGGCAUUACUCGAAGUUUCAAAGACAGUCAUGAACAAUCUGGAACCCAGGACAGGAGAAACAGAGCCAUUCCCCUAAAGACUGCACCAAUCAAGUCUGGUCUGGUAUUAAUUUGAGUAUGUGACAAACAGCAACAUCUCUAAAUGGCAGGAAACAACAAAACGGGAAAUCUGUCAGCAUCUGCAUCAUGCAGGAGAUAGAACAUCAUGCAGGUUUUCGCCUAAUGAUUGGCUCCCGGGAGAGUAAUUAGUAAUUGGCGCACUUCUUGCUGGUGCAACCUUGGCUUCUCUGCCAGAGGAUUCUGAGAAAAGACCGGCCUCAAGGCCUUGAUUCAUGGAAAAAUUACUCCAGGUGCCUGGCUGUGGGCACUGUUCAGCUUUAAUACGGUGGCACUAACACUUAUGCCUUGCACCUGUGAUGACUGAUCCAGAACCAGCAUAAAGGGAGUCUAAGCUGAGAACGACUGCUUCGAGAGCCCUUGUUCAAUUCAACAGCAGCUCUCGACAAAACGCUAACCUCUUCCCAUUGAUCACAGCAUGUCUACGUGAAAGGUAUGGCCAUCCCGUUUGAUAUUCUGCUUUUAGGCACCAAAGGAAAUACUUGCCCGAAAUAUAUGCUGCAGGGAUGCAGUGUGUGUGGUGGUUCAGCGUGAGGGUUCUGGACUCAGCCUGCCAAGAGGAAGCCAAACCCAGUUCUCCUGUUGAGCUUACCAGCUGGGUGCCCUCAAGCUAGUCAUUUAACCCCCCGAAAGUCACAAAUUUUCACUGGUCAAUUGAAAGUAUAGCUAGGUCAUGGAAUUAUAAUGAGAAUUAAAUUAGACAAAAUGCUCAGAACAGUAGCUGGCAAAAAGUAAGCCCUCAAUGAAUGGUAGGUGCAGUUAAUAGGAAAGAAGAGAAUUAGGAGGCCCUCUUGUCAGCAAGAGAAUAGAGGUGUUCUUGUUUAUUAGGUGUCUUCUCAAGGCAGGGCUUUGGCCUUCAGCAAUCUUAUGCUGUUAGCUAUUAUUGCCUCGAUUUUUCAGAUAAUGAAGUUGAUGUUCAGAGAAGUUACAGUAACCUUCCCGAUGUCGCACAGCCAGUGACAAACUUGAGAUCUGAACCUAGGGUGGAAUAAUCCCAAAGUUCUCUUUCUUUCUACCCCAUUACUGCAUCAUGAAUGCUCUGAAAGCCUUUCCUCAUCACCCUACAGAGUUGUGAUCCUACCUCCUGAAGGUCAGGCUAACAAUAGCAGUCCACAGGUAACAAAAUGGACCAAGUCUAGUAUGAAACCACGCAAUUUCAGAGUGAUCUUGGAAAAGGACCCAAAGCUAUCUUGAUUAUGGACUAUAAGGUCCACCUUGGAGGAGGCAGGGUCUUGCAGACAGCUUCAGUGCCUGAGUUGCCCCAUAAAAACAUAACUUCCCAAGAUUGUUCUGAAAUGUGGAAGGAACUCAAGAAGACAAUCAAGACUUUUUUCUGGUGGCAUAUGCAAGAGAAAGACAACAGAAAAUCUGAGAGAUCAAUGCACAGAAAGAGAGGGAGAAAGGAAGGAAGAGAACGAUGGAAGGAAAGGAGAGGGAGGGAGGAAGAAAAAAAGAGAAGGAGGGAGGAAGAGAAUGAGAGAGAUGAUUCAUUUCAUCACAGAAGAAUUGCAAGGGAAACACCAGACCUCACAUAUCUAUAAAGUAUAUCCAAAGGAUGUGUGGGAAAAGAAGCAAUGGGUUCAGGAAGCUAGGAUGUGAACAAGACCAGAUAUCCUGAUAACACAGUAGCAAAAUCCCCUUCUUCUUUUCUCUUGUCCACUUUUUCCAGUCCAGAGUGAAAAAGCCUCAAAAACUCAGGCAUCUUAGAGGAAGAACUGAAAGGCCAUUUUCUAGAUGUUCUAGAAGAAAGACAAGUAAAGCGAUAGGAGAGAUCAUGGUGGAACAUCACCUCCUUCUCCUUUAUCCAAUACAAAAAUUUCCACUUCUUCCACAGGCCACAGAAGCACAGGCCUG